ensembl:lncRNA
CUUCCCGGCUCAUCUUGGAAGAGUACGUGCCAGAAAGACCACGACCAAGCAGCCUUGAGAUCUUAGACAGCGUCUCCCUGAGGUCCCUCUCUAUCUCCCCACACAUCCACCAACCACUGGAACACAUCUCCAAAGUUCUGCUGGGCCAGCUCAGCUUCCCCUCAGAAGAAGUGCUGCCACCUGCCAGAUGAAGGAGCCUUUUGAGAGGCAGCUGGCAUCGUGAUUGGACUGUACUUUGGUCUGUUCCAAUCCAGCUUCAGCUCCAGAGACGGCAGGCGGGACGAGUCAACGGAGGCUGGGUGGACGAAGGCAUGCAGCUGAGUACAAUCCAGAAAACAACAGAGGAGGAGUGCAGCGACCCAGAGCCAGAACAGAGUAUCAUGGUAUGUCUCUUAGAAAACAUCAUAGUAUAGCCUUUGGUAUGAAAAAAAAUGGCAUAAUACACGUCGUCUAUUGUACAAAUAACAAGUCAAAGGAAAGAGACAUACAUUGUAGAAUUGUAGUAAUUGUGGGAUGAC